GAAGUUCUCAAUUUUAAUUCAUGACUUCAUGUGUCACAAAGGUAACUAAAGACAAAUGCAAAUCCUAAAAGUCUGUCCCGAACUUAAAGUUUUAGGUAAGUCUCACUUUUGCAAUCCCCUUAUUUUCCUCUUUUUCCAAAACAAAAGAAAUCCUAGUUCCCCCAACUCCCCUUCCUCGCACAACUGCACACAAGUUGCACCACUGCACCAGUUUCGACUAUUAGUCCCCAACAUAGAUGGUGUUUAGGUACGUUUUGAUAUAAAAUGGUUUGUAUUUCAUCAUGGGACAACUCAAGGAGGUGUGAAAUAGAUUCCUCCCUUUCGGCUCCAACUCAGCGGCACCAUCUUUUCAGGGAGUUCCUCCUAACUUUUGCUUUUAUUAUAGAGUUACCUUGAGGGCAAUGUAACAUAUUUAGUUGGGGGUGGCUCAUUUAUUUGUGAUGAUAUCCGGUGGUUGACGCAUUUUAUGGAUUUGGAGAUUAACUCUUUUGUUUUGACAUUUUAAUUUUGACGGGACACUCUUAUAUUAGUAAGAUAUGCUAGUUUUUUUUGUUUGUUAGUUUGUUUGUUUUUGUAUGCCCAUGUCUUGUCUGUAUUAGCAAUAUCCUUGGCUUUUCUUUGCCGUGGUUCUUUUCCCGAGGAUGCUAAUGUAUUUUGAACCCGGUGUUUUUUAGGUAGUUUUGAGUCGGCUUGUCCCUACUAUGAAAAUUUGGGCACUUUCUUAAGGGAAAUAAGCCUUGUAGGUGUCACGACCCAAAAUCGCAUAGUCGUGCCGGCACCUGCCAUUUCCAACCUUGGUAGGCGAACCCUUCCCUUACCCAACAUGCAAUCUAUCAAAGCGGAGAACAAGGUAAUAAUAAUAAAUCUCAAUAUCAAUUAAAAGAGAAUAAGUGCGGAAUACAUUUUCUACCCAAGGCAUCUGGUUUAAGUCAGCACAAGAACUACUAAUAAACACAUAGGUCUGAAUAUAUAACAAGAAUUAUCUGUGUUGGCAUACAUGACUCAUAACAUCAAAAGGAAUACUGUCUAGAAAUAGAUGACAAGUAUACGACGAAUGAAAAAUUGGGCACCGUCUCGGGAACACUCUCGAGGAUCAGAAAUAGAACCUGUAACAGACUCUGCACUCAAAAGAAGAGUACAACAAGAGUAGCAUCAAUACAAAUAACAGGUACAGAGUAAGCAUUAUAGGCCGACUAAGAUUGGUUCAUGCAUAUAAGCAUAAAAUCAACAAGAUAAGUAGAUAGGCACAUAAUACCCAAACUAAGGUCACAGAAUAUCCCAUAACCGAAUCAUAACCUAAGAUGAAACUUCUAAACCACAACUCUAUCGAAUCUCAAUAAUAUCAAAUGAUAAUCACAAAAUCAAGUUUUGAACCUAGGCAGAGUCACUACUCCGCAAUUUGACCCAGUCCAUAAUCCAAUCUAUGCCACCAUAAUGAUAUGAACAGACCAUACCAAAUCAGACAUGAAGAGCCAUAUGAUUAUGUAGAAUAAAAUGCAAUGUUGUGCAAUGUAAUGCAGUGCAAUGCACUGACCAAAUACCUCAAACAUGUACACACAUGCUAAAGGCAUUGUUCGCUCAAUAGUCAUGACCCAUGGGGGGACCCGCAAAGUCCACGUACCCUCCCUCCAGAAUUGACCUCGGAUCACGAGUUCACAAAUAGGCCACAUCUUCACCCCUGUUAAAUGUCAUAUAUAUAUAUAUAUAUAUAUAUAUAUAUAUAUAUCACAGGAUGGGACACAUCCUUACUCCCUGUCAGAUGUGCCUUAUAUACAUAUAUUGUAUGCAAGAUGAGUAUAAAAAAUAUGAUUCAAAUUUAGAACCCAAAUAAGAAACACCAACUGAAAAGUAAGCAUGAUAAAUUAAUGAAAUCAAAUGCCAUUGAAAGUACGAGUCAAAAUUCCAUAAGCCAUAUCAGGACUUAGAUAAAUCAGCUCAACCAUGGAAUGAAUCAUACAAACCAUCUCAAUCAACAUAAAGAGUCUAUGACACCCUUUACUUCCAAAUAUAACAAGUACACCUCACAACUAAGUCUUGUAUCACCAAAGCGCUCCAUUUUCUCAUGUAUCAUCAUCAGCACCAAGUCAUAAUUCGAUAUCAAUAGACAUGUGAAAUGAGAAUGUAUGCCAUGCAUGAUAUCAUCAUAAUUAUACAACACGAUUCAAGCCUAAUCUUAUUAUCCUUCCUUUCUCCGAUGAUAAAUGACACAACAAGAGAGAAAUGAGUGCAACACAUAUCAAAACACAGCAAUUAAGGCAACAAGCCUAAUCAAAAUAACAGGACAACAAGCCACACUCAACCAACCUAAUAGAAUACCAUCCCAAAUCACCACCUUACGAAUACAAAUACACCAUCACUGUUACGCCUCUCGUUUUGUCAUAGUAGAAUUUAUGAUUCCUAGUCGGGUACGCCUUAGGAAUGGAGACCCGCGACUGAGUUUUUAAGGUAGAAAGUGUCUUACCCUGUGUAUAAAUGCACCAGCAGGUACUUUUGGUAAUUUACAGGAUUGGAAGUUGAGCGAAUCAAAUCGACGCUAUCUAAACUGAAUCGGGGAGAUCUGCAUACAUCAGUCAGCGUCGACGGACCGUCAUUACGCACCGUCAACAUGUUUUUGCAACCUCGGAUCUGCAGGCGCAGGUCGACGGAGCGAGUCGUCGGGUCGUCGACCCGCUCGUCGAACCGCCUCGCUGCAACUUUCUAGUUCCAAUUAUAAAUGGAUGACCCUUGUUCAUAAUCUUUAUUUCCUACCUUCUCCAAAAUUCUUGAAAGCUCCAGAAUAUUCUCUCCACCAUAUUAACACAAAUCCAAGAGAAAUCAAGGAUUAAACACCAAGAAUCAAGAGGAUCAAGUGAAGGAAGACUCUUAGGGUUUGUAGAAGCUAAGAUUCCCUUUAGUAUUGAAGUUGGGAGUUUCUCUCAAGGGAAGUAUAUUCAUCCAAAGUUCAUCCUUACAUGAUCAAAGGUGAAUUUUGCAUCAAUUUCAUGUUAUUAAAAGCAUUUGAGUGGUUGAAAGACUUGGAUAAGAGAAGAAACUAGAAUAUGAGCUCAAAUAUGGAAAUAAUGAGAUUUUGAGUAGUAAUUUAACUUGAGUCAUGAUUCUUAGUAUGCUAUGAGUAUAAUCUCGUUAUGGAUGAUACUAAGAGUGUUUAGAAAGUAUUAUAUGUAAAUGAAUUUGGUGUGGUGUUGUAAUUAUGGUUAUGAAUGACUUUGAAAAGGAGUUUUGAGGAUUGAACAAUGUUUAACUUGAAAAAGUCUGUUGAUUAUGGUAUUAUGGGUGUUGCAAUUGAUGUUUGGGAGUUGUUUAUUAUAUGGAGAAAGUUGUCGAACCAAAGGAAAUGCUGCCCAGUUUUCAUUAGCUCUUAGUCACUUUAGUUUAGACUUAAGCAUGUCUUAAAUGAUCUAAUUUAGUACGAAUUCUCUUGAAUGUAGAGUUGUGAGCUUGGAGGGAGAACGAUUAGUCAUUAAGGAGACAUAAAGGUAGACAGGGAGACGGCACAGUCGCUUAGGAGCUUUAUCAGCAGACAUACAGGAGCACACCACUACUCCGGAGUUGCCGCUUAUUGGUAUAUUCUUUUGUGUAUAUAUUUGGGGCAUGGCGGGGUCCUGUCCCGUCCUUAUGAUUUCAGUACUCCAGUUAGAAGCUCGUAGAUACAUAUGUGUGGGUAGUAGAUGUUUUAUGACCUCUUUAGCGUAUGUCUUGUAUAUCAUUUUGCAGCCUUGUGGGCUUGUACAUAUAUGUAUAUUUUGAGUAUUAAUUGA